UUCCUCUCCCGUGCCCUCACUUCCAACCCUAAAUCGCCAGAUCCAGGAAAAAAUCCCCUUUUCCGCCGGCGGCGCCGUCGCCGGAGGCUCGAGCUCCUCCUCCGUCAAAGCCAAGCAAGCUCCGCUCUCGCGCGUCCCCUCCCCCUUGCGCCUUCCUCCCUGCGUCUCCGCGUCGCUCACCCACCCAGCCCGCCACCCACUCUUCCCCGUCGUACGCGUCGAAUCUGUGUCGCCGCGAGGACGCCACAUCACGAAGCGCACCGGCCACCGCCACGGCGCUGCUCAUCUGCUCGUCGUUGUAGGCCUAGCUGAACCCGCAGCUGCACACGAAGCAUGGAAGCGCACCGUGAGGUUGGGGGCAGCAGCAAUGGCAAUGGCAGGGACGUCGCCGGUGGCUCUGGCAUGACCGCCGGGCAUGAAGCGUCACAGUCCGCACCUACACCUGGACCAGGGUAUAUUUUCACUGGAAAUAUUACUAAUCCCUGGAGUCAUGCUGCACAUUAUGGAAGGCAAGGAUUUUCAUGCCACUAUUGUGGUCUGAAGAGGCAGGGUGGAGGCUCAACCCGCCUAAAGGAACAUCUUGGUGGGCUGGGAGGAUCAUGGUUGAAUGCUAUAAUGUGCCCUCCGAGGUACAAGCUGCAAUGAGGAAGAAUCGGCUGGUUUACAAACAGAAAAAGUCAAAGGUACAAGCCCGCAAACUCAGAUUGGAACUUGAGCUUCUAGAGGAAAUGGGUGGAAGUCCAGUAAUUGAUCUUGAUCCUGCUAGUGAUGAAGAGGACCGUGUAAGGUUGGAAAGGGAGAAAGCACUAAGGGGUAUUAAGCUUCGAAAUGCAGUUGAUAGUAUGGGUAGCAUGGGUAGUAGAUUUGAGGUCGGGUCUGGGAGUGGCAGCGCCAAUGUCGAGUCUAGUCCUACGACUCCUGCCAAUGGAAAGAUAACCCAAUAUCUUCAGCGUAAGAGCUCUCUUAGUCCUGCAGAUGGUGGUAACAGGACUCCUGCUAGUGGACGCCAGCCAAGGAUUGACUUCUCAAAUCAAAAGCUAAAUGCAGCAAAACUUGGUCAAGCUUGGGCCAAAUGGUUCCAUGCUAAUGAUAUUCCUGGACGGAAAAUCAAUUGUCCUCUAUUUCGAGCAGCGUUGAAGUUUCAAGUCUUGUGAGGAGGAAUAGGGUGAAGAAAGGUAAGUUGGUUGUUCUAGAUGAAGAGGGGGAAGCUUCGGAAAGUGAAGAUGAUCAGGAAGAAGACAAAGAAAGUGGUGAUGAAGAAGAUUUUGAUGAUGAAGAGGAGGAGGAAAUAGGUGGGGUGCCUUCACAUGAAAGAAGCACUCAAGCGGUUGAACCAGGACAAGAGGCUGAGCUGGUAAGGGUGGCCGAAGAAGCGAGUGAGACUCGGAAGUCAAAACGACCAUCUGGGAAGAAGAAGGACAAAGAUAGUAUCUACUAUUAGCAAUGUGUAGAUGACAUGCUGCAAUGUUAAUCACGGGUGACUUGCCGAGGGUGUCAAGAAUCAAGAAAGGCGACAAGACAAGUGACUUUGGCUUGUUGUUUAUCUCGUGAUAUUGUCAUCAUCUUUUGUGACAUUUGUAUGAACUGUUAUGGACUGCUGAAGUGGUGUUAGCCUGGACUAUCAUGAACUUCUAAUUUUAUUGACUCCAUGAAGUAUUGUUUGUUGUCGAGAUGAUGAUUUAUAUUUUGUAGAAUUCAUAUGCUAUUUGAUGUUUA